rnacentral:rRNA from 1 species
AUUGAACGCUGGCGGCGUGCUUAACACAUGCAAGUCGUGCGAGAAAGGGGUCUUCGGACCCUGAGUAGAGCGGCGCACGGGUGAGUAACGCGUGGAUUACCUCCCCGAAUGUUCGGGAUAACGGCGGGAAACUGCCGCUAAUACCGGAUACGCUCCCAAUUUCGGUUGGGGGGAAAGGCGGCCUCUGCUUGCAAGCUGUCGCAUUCGGAUGGGUCCGCGUCCCAUUAGCUUGUUGGUAGGGUAACGGCCUACCAAGGCGACGAUGGGUAGCUGGUCUGAGAGGAUGAUCAGCCACACUGGGACUGAAACACGGCCCAGACUCCUACGGGAGGCAGCAGUGGGGAAUAUUGCGCAAUGGGGGCAACCCUGACGCAGCGACGCCGUGUGAGGGAAGAAGGCCUUCGGGUCGUAAACCUCUGUCAGAAGGGAAGAACCCCUGAUAUCCGAAUAGGGUGUCAGGCUGACGGUACCUUCAGAGGAAGCGCCGGCUAACUCCGUGCCAGCAGCCGCGGUAAUACGGAGGGCGCGAGCGUUAAUCGGAAUUACUGGGCGUAAAGCGCGCGUAGGCGGCUUUGUAAGUCGGGCGUGAAAGCCCUCGGCUCAACCGAGGAACUGCGUUCGAUACUGCAAGGCUUGAGUCCUGGAGAGGGUGGCGGAAUUCCGGGUGUAGGAGUGAAAUCCGUAGAGAUCCGGAGGAACACCGGUGGCGAAGGCGGCCACCUGGACAGGUACUGACGCUGAGGCGCGAAAGCGUGGGGAGCAAACAGGAUUAGAUACCCUGGUAGUCCACGCGGUAAACGAUGGAUGCUAGGUGUCGGGGGGCGACCUUCGGUGCCGCAGUUAACGCAUUAAGCAUCCCGCCUGGGGAGUACGGUCGCAAGGCUGA